CUUUUCUCUUCGCCUCGCCUCGUCCCACUCGAUCUUUAAGGAAACCCUCUAGGGUUAGGGUUAGGGUUAGGGUGAGGGUGAGGGUGAGGGUGAGGGUUUUUGAAGGGAGGAGAUCGAGACAUUUGAGGCGAGGGUGGAGGAUGGCGCCCAGGAAGGGAGCGCCAUCCACUCGGGAACUGCAGAAGAUCCUCGACAAGCUCGAUGAGCUCAAAAAUGAAGAAGCAGACAAAAUUUUUGAGGUUGAACAGAAGUAUGUAGACAUAAGAAGAGCUAUAUACAAGCGGCGGAAUGAGAUCAUCAGAUCUAUUCCUGACUUUUGGUUAACUGCAGUAUGUGCUUAAAACAUGUUCGUGUCGAUGUCUUUGAUAAGGAGAACACUCAUGCGAUUUAUUUCCUGGAUUAUCCCUCUGGACAGUUUCUGAACCAUCCGUUAGUUUGUGAUCUUCUCACUGAUGAUGACCAAAAGAUCUUGAAGUACCUGAUUUUGUUUGAUGUGGAUGACUAUAAAGAUAAAAAAUCAGGCUAUUCCUACACUGAAAUUUUCCCCUAACCCAUAUUUUGAAGAUGCAUGCCUGAGAAAAACAUACAUAUUUCACGAUGACGGAAUAGUCACUAUAACUGGUGCAACAAUUAAAUGGAAGGAGGGGAUGUAUACAGGAAAUGAUGAUAUUCGUGAGAAGAAUGAUUGCAAAAAAGUCUCCUCUCAUGUAUAAAGCUUCUUUGGCUGGCUUAGUAGAACUCAGCAGCUAAAUGUCUUGGAGUGGAAUGACGAUAAGGUAGCAGUGAUUGUCAAGGAAAAUUUGUGGCCAAAUCCUUUGAAAUACUAUAAAAUGGAAGCUGAGGAGGAUGUUGAACGAGAUUAAGAUGAUGCUAAUGUAGUGUUAAAGGACUCCGAUCACUACUUGAUCGGCUAAGUUGAUUCUCGGAAGGAAAUGCUGCUCCCAUGGCGAGGAUUAUUAUGAGCAUGAAGGUGGUUGAGAGGACGUUUGCCAACGACGGGCACUAGGUUUUCCCUUUCUUCUCUUCUCUCGGGUGAUAAUGUCAAUGAAGCCAAAUUUGCUAAUGAUGUUAUCCGUUUGAUUUACUUAUACUUCCCUUCGAACGGGAGGUACGAGCAUAAAUUCUCCGUGCCGUCAUGCCUUCUUUGUUCCUGUUUCUCUGGAACUGCUGUACAGUACAGCCUACUAUUGCAUUUUUGGUCGAUCUUUCAAGGACCAGUGAACAUGUAAUUCCCACUCUAAGAUUUUUGAAAUACACCACUCAACUAUUGGCUUUGGAAUGCUGCCUAGGCAACUAACGA